GUGAAGAAGAUGAGUUUGCAAACUCUUGUAAUGCUGCUGCAAGUGCAAAGACAAAGUGUGGGACUAAAAAAGGACCAAUGGACAAAUUUUGUAAGAAUCCAGAAAAUGCAAUCAAUCGGAGAAAAAUGGAGAUGCUGAGGCAAAUGAACAUAAGAGAGUCAAUGGAUAAGAAUGAAGUAUUGAAGGUGCAUCAACAUAUUGUUCGCUUUUGGUACCAAGCAAGUUUGUCAUUCAACCUCAUUAAAUUGAAAAGCUUUGAGAACAUGGUUGCAGCCAUUGGUCAAUAUGGGCCACAUUUGCCCAUUCCUAGCUAUCAUGACAUCAGAGUUCCACUCUUGAAGAAGGAAGUUGAAUAUACUGAAAAUUUGAUGAAAGGCCAUAGGGAGCAAUAGGUCAAGUAUGGUUGUACUAUUAUGUCCGAUGCAUGGACUGAUCGGAAACAAAGAUGCAUCAUUAAUUUUUUUAUUAACUCUCAAGCUGGUACCAUGUUUUUGAAGUCUGUUGAUGGCUCUGAUUUUGUAAAGACAGGUAAAAAGCUUUUUGAGUUGCUUGAUGCCAUUGUGGAGGAAGUUGGAGAAGAGAAUGUUGUUCAAGUUGUAACCGAUAAUGGGAGCAACUAUGUUUUAGCGGGUAAGUUGUUGGAGGAGAAAAGGAAACAUAUUUAUUGGACUCCUUGUGCAGCUCAUUGUAUUGAUUUGAUGCUUGAAGAUAUUGGGAAGCUUCCCUUGAUAAGGAAGACAAUUAGAAGGGUAAUUAAUCUAGUUGGGUUUAUCUAUGCCCAUUCUAGUACCUUAAGUUUGUUGAGAAAUUUUACAAACAAGAGGGAAUUGGUGAGACAUGCUAUUACUAGAUUUACACUCUUAAAGUCAUGGCUCCACUUGUGAAAGUGCUUCGUCUUGUGGAUGGUGAAAGGAAACCAGCCAUGGGCUAUAUUUAUGAAGCAAUGGACAAGGCAAAAGAAACAAUUAUCAAGUCUUUCAACAACAAUGAAAGCAAGUACAAAGAUGUGUUUGCAAUCAUUGAUUAAAGAUGGAAUUGUCAGCUUCAUAGGCCAUUGCAUGCAGCUGCCCACUUCUUAAAUCCAGAGUUCUUUUAUGACAACACUGACUUGGAGUUUGAUUUUGAGGUCACCAAUGGUUUGUUUGAGUGCAUUAAGAAGUUGAUUCCACAAUUUGAUGUGCAACAGAAAAUUCUAACCGAGUUGCAUCUUUACAAGAUUGGUGUUGACCACUUUGGUUCCGACUUUGCAAUGGCUCAAAGGAAAACCCAUUCUCCUACAUAUUGGUGGCGAAUGUUUAGGUCACAAACUCCAAAUUUGCAGAAGCUAGCUAUUAAAAUUGAGUUUGACUUGCAGUGCUUCAGGAUGUGAAAGAAAUUGGAGUGUGUUUGAGCAAAUUCAUUCCAAAAAAAGAAAUAGGCUUGAGCACAAGAGGUUGCAUGAUUUGGUGUUUGUCAAAUACAACCAACAAUUGAAGCAAAGAUAUAAUGCAAGAGAUGAAAUUGAUCCAAUUUCUCUUAAUGAUAUUGAUGUAUGCAAUGAAUGGCUCGUGGGAGAGAUGGAUCAAGAUGAUGAUAAUGAUGCUGGAAAUGAUUUGGUAUUUGAAGAUGAUGAUGCUCUAAAUUGGGCAACUGUGUAUCAGGCUUCGGGGGUUGGAGAGUGUAGGAUGUAUACUAGGCGAAAAAAGCAAAAAACAAGUGUUGCUGCUGCCCAAACUUCUAAAAAACAGGCAAUGGUUGUUGGAUCUUCAUCAAGGAAGCAAAAAGCAGUCCAAGAAAAUGAUGAGAAUCUAGAUGUUGAGGAGAAUAUUGAUGUUGAAUCUGAAGAAGAAGAAAUCAUGGUCAAUUUUGAGGCGUCUGAUGGGGAAGAGGGAGAGGGAAAUGCUCCAUUACCAUAUGAUAACAACGAAGAUGAUUAUGUUGGGAUUGGAGAAGAUGAUUAGAGCCUCAACCUUCACUUUGCACUUUGCAUUAUGUUUUUAUCAUUUUCUUAUUUUGAACUCUUUAAUGAGUUUAUUUGGUGUUGGUACUUGAUUAUUGUAUGAACUCAUGAAACUUUUUUAGUUUAUUUGAAUGCAAUCCUUUGUUUUUUUCAAUUUCAAUGA